GACGAACGCUGGCGGCGUGCUUAACACAUGCAAGUCGAACGGAAAGGCCCUGCUUUUGUGGGGUGCUCGAGUGGCGAACGGGUGCGUAACACGUGAGUAACCUGCCCUUGACUUUGGGAUAACUUCAGGAAACUGGGGCUAAUACCGGAUAGGAGCUCCUGCUGCAUGGUGGGGGUUGGAAAGUUUCGGCGGUUGGGGAUGGACUCGCGGCUUAUCAGCUUGUUGGUGGGGUAUUGGCUUACCAAGGCUUUGACGGGUAGCCGGCCUGUGAGGGUGACCGGCCACAUUGGGACUGAGAUACGGCCCAGACUCCUACGGGAGGCAGCAGUGGGGAAUAUGGCACAAUGGGCGGAAGCCUGAUGCAGCAACGCCGCGUGCGGGAUGACGGCCUUCGGGUUGUAAACCGCUUUCGCCUGUGACGAAGCGUGAGUGACGGUAAUGGGUAAAGAAGCACCGGCUAACUACGUG
rnacentral:rRNA from 1 species